rnacentral:rRNA from 1 species
UACAGAGGGUGCGAGCGUUUGUUCGGAAUUACUGGGCGUAAAGCGCGCGCAGGCGGCCUUUUAAGUCUGGCGGUGAAAUGCCGGGGCUCAACCCCGUUGCAGGCCGCGGAUACUGGGAGGCUGGAGACGAGUAGAGGCAAGCGGAAUUCCGGGUGUAGCGGUGGAAUGCGUAGAGAUCCGGAAGAACACCAGUGGCGAAGGCGGCUUCCUGGUCUGCAACUGACGCUGUGGCGCGAAAGCUAGGGGAGCAAACGGG